UUGGAGGGCAAGUCUGGUGCCAGCAGCCGCGGUAAUUCCAGCUCCAAUAGCGUAUAUUAAAGUUGUUGCAGUUAAAAAGCUCGUAGUUGAAUUUCGGGAUUCAUCCGUUGGUCGGGCCUCACGGUCCGUACUGGUGUGAUGGGUUCCUACCUUCUGAAUAACCGGCAUGCCAUUAAUUUGGUGCGCCGGGGAAGUAGAACUAUUACCUUGAAAAAAUUAGAGUGCUUAAAGCAGGCAAGUGCCUGAAUAGGUUAGCAUGGAAUAAUAAAAUAGGACGGCAUGGUUCUAUUUUGUUGGUUUCUAGGAUCACCGUAAUGAUUAAUAGGGAUAGUUGGGGGCAUUAGUAUUCAAUUGUCAGAGGUGAAAUUCUUGGAUUUAUUGAAGACUAACUUCUGCGAAAGCAUUUGCCAAGGAUGUUUUCAUUAAUCAAGAACGAAAGUUAGGGGAUCGAAGACGAUCAGAUACCGUCGUAGUCUUAACCAUAAACUAUGCCGACUAGGGAUCGGACGAUGUUAAUUUUUUAAUGACUCGUUCGGCGCCUUACGGGAAAC
rnacentral:rRNA from 1 species